AGGAAAAGAGAGAGAAUCUCAAGCAGGCUCCAUGCUCAGCACAGAACCUGACUUGGGGCUCAAUCCCACCAACCUGGGAUUGUGACCUGGGCUGAAAUUAAGAGACUCAGCCAAACGAGCCACUCAGGGGCCCCAAGAAUGGAGAAUACAUAGUCGCUUCAGGGAAUCCCAAAGGUACUGAACUAAAGUAGUCCCCUUCUUCGCAGGAAGUAUGUUCCAAGACCCCAGGGUCUGCCUGUGAUGACAGAUAGUACCGGACCCUACGUGUCCUAUGAGGUUUCCUGUACGUUCCCACCCAUGAUCAAGCUUCAUUUAUGAAUUAGGCACAGUAAUAAAUUAAGAACAAUAACUACAAAAAAAGAUAAGAAUCCUGAGUAUACUGUAGUCAAACUUAUGCAUAACUGCCCUCAACUAAUCUGAUGUAGUGUGCUCAUCCUGCUUCUUGUGAUGAUGUGAGAUGAUAAGAGGCCUGCAUGAGGAGAUAAGGGAGGUUUUUUAAGGUUUAUUUAUUUUUGAGAGACAGAUUACAAAAAAGGAAGGGGCAGAAAGAGGGAGAGACACAGAAUCCAAGGCAGGCUCCAGGCUCUGAGCUAUCAGCACAGAGCCUGAAUGGGGCUCAAACUCACAAAUCUUGAGAUCAUGACCUGAGCUGAACUCAGGCACUUAACCAAUUGAGUCACCCAGGUGCCCCCCUGAAAAUAUAUGUUUGAGAAUAUAUGUGAUUAUCUCCUUAGGAUAAACUCCUACCUGCAUGGCUUAGUCCUGUAAGCAUGAGCCUCUUGAUUUCACCUCAGCUCAUGAUCUCCGGGUUCCUGAGACCCAGCCUGACGUCCUACUGCUCGGGAUUCUGUCUCCUCUCUCUCCCUCUGCCCCUCUCCCUGCUCCUGCGUGCACUCUUUCUCAUUUUUCUCAAAAUAAAUAAAUAAAUAAUUUUUUAAAAAGGAUAAACUCCUAAAAGACAAUGUCUAUGUCACAGUAUAAGCACACUAAAAUUGUGGAGACAUUUUGCAGAACCCUUGAAAAUUUUUAUACCAGUGUUCACUCCCAUUAUCCUUUAUGACAGUGUAUUUUCCCGACCCUCUGUUGGACACUCUCCUCACCUACUUUUACCUUUGCCAAGUUGAAGACACUAAGUUUUAUACCCAUUUUUUAUUCUGUUGGAGAACAAGAAGCAGGAGGCACCAUAAGAAUGUCUGGAAGGAAAGGGACAGAACAGCAAGAAACUGAAAACAGUUCCAUUCCCAGGACAGAGCCGGGUCUGCUCGCUCUCUCCAGAAGGACAUAGUAUGGGCAUCAGGCCUGGGAUAAGAAUGUUUUGUUUGGUGCCAGAUGUACUCAUGACCCAGUAUGGAAUACGCUGCAGGUGCACAGACUGUCAAGAUGCCAAAUACUACGUUGCAUGUGCUCGCUGUUAUCAGACAAUUUGCAAAAAUAGAAGAGGCUUGAGCCAGGGGGCUCAGGCUUUGGCUCCUGGAGAGUCUUAGCCCCCUGCUUUGCAAUUCUCUCCUCACCACACCUUCAGGCCCUGUCUCUCUACAGCUGGCGCCAGAACAGGGACCUGAAGGUGGACGUUUGCCACACUGCUGAAGAAGUGCCACAGGAACUGAAGGGAACUUUGGAGCCGGGAAGCUCAGCCUUCGGGAUUUCUGCAGGUCUGUGCCAGAGACGAUGAGCCUGUCAACAUAUCGACCGACAGUUCGGGUUAUGCAAUGUCCUCCUACAGUCCACCGAAUACAAACAGAAAGGGGGAGAUGCUGGAGAACAACAGGCCAGAAGCACCGUAAGAAUGUCCUGAAGGAAAGGGACAGAGCAGCAAGAAACUGAAAGCAGUUUCAUUCCCAGGACAAAAGUCCUUUGGGACUGCUCGCUCUCUCCAGAAAGACGUCAUCCGGGCGCCACCCUGGAGAUAAGAAUGUUUUGUCUGGUGCCAGAUGUAUUCAUGACCCAGUAUGGAAAACACUGCAGGUACAUGACCUGACAAGAGGCCUAAUACUAUGUUGUAUGUGCUUGCUGUUGUCAACAAUUUGCAAAAAUCAAAGAGGCUUGAGCCAGGGGACCGAGGCUUUGGCUCCUAGAGAGUCGUAGGCCUCUGCUUUGCAAUCCUCUCAUAACACACCUUUAGGACCUGUCUCUCUACAUAUUCCACACUCUCAUGUUCUUUAUGUAUAUUAUUACCAAUAUAUGUGUGUGACAUUU